rnacentral:rRNA from 1 species
CGGGGUGCAGCAGGCGCGAAAACUCCACAAUGUACGGAAGUACGAUGGGGUUAUCUCGAGUGCAGUCCGAUAAGGGCUGCUUUUCCAUAGAGUAAUAUCCUGUGGGAAUAAGAGGGGGGCAAGACUGGUGUCAGCCGCCGCGGUAACACCAGCCCCUCGAGUGGUGGGGACUAUUAUUUGGCCUAAAGCGCCCGUAGCUGGCUGUAUCCGUCCCCCGUUAAAUCCAGCGUCCUAAGCGUUGGACUGCGGGUGAUACCAUACAGCUAGAGGGUGGGAUAGGUGAGCGGUAUUUCUGGGGUAGGGGCGAAAUCCUUUGAUCCCAGGAGGACCACCAGUGGCGAAGGCUGCUCACUAGAACACGCCUGACGGUCAGGGACGAAAGCUGGGCAGCGAACCGGAUUAGAUACCCGGGUAGUCCCAGCUGUAAACGAUGCUAGCUAGGCGUUGGGUCGGCCACGUGCCGCCCCAGUGCCGCAGGGAAGCCGUUAAGCUAGCCGCCUGGGGAGUACGGCCGCAAGGCUGAAACUUAAAGGAAUUGGCGGGGGAGCACAAGGGCGAUUGCG